AAUUGAAAGAUGCAUUCACAGUUAUUUAUGCACACAAGAAUAACUCAUGGCUUUUAUCAGUGUGCUGGUUCGAAGUUGGCAGCCGAGGCACAAAUAAACUGUUCUGGAUUUACAGGAACUGCUAUUGAAAUCUGCACAAACCACAUGAAAACCUAUACAAACCAUUUCCUGGAAGGACUGUUCAGAUAACUGAGCCAGUUAAGUUUCUACACUUCAUUGAACUGAAAAUAAAGCAUCACUGAACUGAACUGAAAGAAUCUCUUUUCAUUACAACUGAGAAAUACAACUGGUUUUCUUCCACAAUGGGGUAGUCUCAUAGCUUUUAGUAUCCAACAAAGCUUUGCCAAAGACUGAGUACUGAUAAAUAAAGACACUAUCAACUUCACUGAACAAAGACAUACUAUAGUACAGAAGAUGCACAAAGCCAAAACUGUUCAUAAGUCAACUGAACUCAUAAGUCAUAACUAAUAUAAACCAGCUGUGAAUAAACCAGCUGUCUACUGGAAAUGGCAAGUGUUUACAAAAUCCUUUAACUAAUAACUCAUAAUUGAACUGCCUGAACAUGGCAAGUGUAUGUUUACAAAAACCUACACUGCACUCUCACCACUAGCCGUCUCGCCUACACUAGCACUCAUCGCCUUGACAAUCUUCGCCCUCUUCGCCUUGACAUAUGCCCUUUGAUCAUCAUCCAUGGUGGUCACAUCACAAAACAUGAUCUUUUGUUGCUGCUCCCACUGCAGUCGCUCCUCAUCCAUCCGAAGCCUACGCUGCUCAACCAUCAUAUCCUUCUCCCAACUUUCUUUUUUCAUCAUAUGUUCCUCGGCCUUUAUUACCAUCAGUUUUUGCAUCAUUUCCUUGUACUCGUCAUCUCCUUCAUUGUUUUUCAGCUUCUCUUUGGAUUGCUUUCUACCUGGAGGUCGGGCUUUCUUAGCUGAAGGGAGUGAGGAGCUCUGUUGGCCUUGGGUGGUUGAGUCAUCGUCCUCUUGUUCACUUCUUACCGGGAGGUUGACCUCUCUGGACUUGGCUGGCCCCUUGUUGCCUUGAAGCGUUGAUUCAAACUUCUGAGUGUGCCUCAAUGUGAGCCAGCAAUGUUCGAAUUGACAAUUUUUGCCGUUGGAUUUUCUGGCAUACCUUGCUUGGGCUUCAAGCAGCUGCAACAAAGAUCAAGUGCAUGAUAAGAUAUAUAGCAAUGACAAGA
rnacentral:lncRNA from 1 species